GAUGAACGCUGGCGGCGUGCCUAAUACAUGCAAGUCGAGCGAAUGGAUUAAGAGCUUGCUCUUAUGAAGUUAGCGGCGGACGGGUGAGUAACACGUGGGUAACCUGCCCAUAAGACUGGGAUAACUCCGGGAAACCGGGGCUAAUACCGGAUAACAUUUUGAACCGCAUGGUUCGAAAUUGAAAGGCGGCUUCGGCUGUCACUUAUGGAUGGACCCGCGUCGCAUUAGCUAGUUGGUGAGGUAACGGCUCACCAAGGCAACGAUGCGUAGCCGACCUGAGAGGGGGAUCGGCCACACUGGGACUGAGACACGGCCCAGACUCCUGCGGGAGGCAGCAGUAGGGAAUCUUCCGCAAUGGACGAAAGUCUGACGGAGCAACGCCGCGUGAGUGACGAAGGCUUUCGGGUCGUAAAACUCUGUUGUUAGGGAAGAACAAGUGCUAGUUGAAUAAGCUGACACCUUGACGGUACCUAACCAGAAAGCCACGGCUAACUACGUGCCAGCAGCCGCAGUAA
rnacentral:rRNA from 1 species